rnacentral:rRNA from 1 species
AUGGACAAGUACACCAUUGGCAUCGUUGCACUAGCCCUACUGUCUCUACAUCUCGUUUGCUGUGCUACUAUUGCUCAAUGCCGAAUCAUGGCUGACACAGAUAGCGACAAGAUCAAUUUACCACAUGGGCUAUGUGCUUAUUUGCCUAAGCAUCGAUGCACAAAUCCUGAUGCGUGCGUCUGUUGUACCGUAGAUGGAAUAUGCUACGUAACUAUGGAUGAGUGCGAGAAAGAGUGUAAAAAAACGUCAUCUUCAGAAGACAUAUUAUUGGCGAUGACACCCCCUCCUUUAUCUGCUCCUUAA